AGACCAAAACGACGAAAAGUCACAACACCGUCAGACCCAAAAUGGAAGAAAUGAACCCAUCAAAUGACAGAAAUAAGCUCAACGGAAUAAACUGGCAACUGCCAAGCAUGGAUGAAUGCCUUGAAUUAAUCCAGCACUACGGUAAAAGCUUAAAUUCAUUUUAACUCGAAGGUCUAUUAUCUCGAGGAGACGUCAUACUCAACACCAAUCGAAAGCAUCCGAUGACAAAAGUCACAACUGAUUCAAUGUCACAAUUUAUUCUAACUAGAAGACCUCAUAAUGAAAAAUAUUAACGCAAUAACAUUAAAUAUCAUAGAAAAACUUGAAUCUUUGCCAAAGAAAAUGCUGCCCGACAGUAACAAAAAUCUACUCCCAAUACUUCCCUAUCGUCUCUCAUUUCUUUUUCGUUCCCUUCUUCUGCUGAAUUUCUCUCCUUGCUUGACGUCGAGGACGAAGUUCUCCCAAUUUGUGGCCAACCAUCUGCUCCGAUAUACGAAAAGGCACGUGCUUCUUACCAUUGCGAACAGCAAUCCUAUGGCCCACCAUAUCAGGAAUAAUGGUAGAACACCGGGACCAAGUUUUUAUCAAUUCCUUGUCCGCCUUUUGGUUAAGCUGCGAAAUUGUUUCCACCAAAUGAUUGGCAACGAAAGGAAUCCUCCAAGUUCCGCCGCCAUGGAGACGUAGAACAAGGUGGAGUGUAGACUCCUUCUGAAAGUUAUAGUUGGCUAGGGUUCUGCCGUCCUCCAUCUGUUUUCCAGCGAAAAUAAGUCGCUGCUGGUCCGGCAGUAUGCCUUCCUUGUCUUGGAUCUUGGCCUUGGCACUAUCAAUUGUUUCGGAACUCUCUACCUCGAGAGUAAUUGUCUUGCCGGUAAAGGUUUUUAUGAAAAUCUGCAUGUUUCUUCCUACUGGAAAUGCAAACUGUAGACAAAGAGGAAAUUAUGGAGGGAAUAGAACCUUUUAUAGGCUGGAACUAGAAUUAAGGGCUCGUUUGAGAUUUAAUUUUUUUUAUCGUGAGAUAAGUGAUCCCAUUUGUGAGAGAAAAAGUCAACAAUGACGAUUGAAAUAGUGAAAUAACAAUCAAAUAUUGGAUUUUUGAAGGUGAAAAAUCAAUUUCAAACAUGCACUAAGCUUGAUUGCAUCAUUGUGUACACUUUAAUAUGAAUCAAACUGAUGCUACCAAAAAUCGUAUCUGUUAGUUUCUCGAGCUUGAGAACUUUGAAUAAGCACGAUUGUAGUCUUACGGUUCUUGAAGCAAAGGCAACGAGGUAUGUUCUCGUCGCUCCUCCGAUACUUAAGUCAGAAAAUGAAUUAUAUGCGUGAGGCUAUAAAUUGAA
rnacentral:lncRNA from 1 species